rnacentral:rRNA from 1 species
AGGGAGCUUGCUCCCGGAUGUUAGCGGCGGACGGGUGAGUAACACGUGGGUAACCUGCCUGUAAGACUGGGAUAACUCCGGGAAACCGGAGCUAAUACCGGAUAGUUCCUUGAACCGCAUGGUUCAAGGAUGAAAGACGGUUUCGGCUGUCACUUACAGAUGGACCCGCGGCGCAUUAGCUAGUUGGUGAGGUAACGGCUCACCAAGGCGACGAUGCGUAGCCGACCUGAGAGGGUGAUCGGCCACACUGGGACUGAGACACGGCCCACACUCCUACGGGAGGCAGCAGUAGGGAAUCUUCCGCAAUGGACGAAAGUCUGACGGAGCAACGCCGCGUGAGUGAUGAAGGUUUUCGGAUCGUAAAGCUCUGUUGUUAGGGAAGAACAAGUGCAAGAGUAACUGCUUGCACCUUGACGGUACCUAACCAGAAAGCCACGGCUAACUACGUGCCA